AUGAACGCUGGCGGCGUGCCUCACACAUGCCAGUCGAGCGGCAGCGAGGGGUGCUUGCACCCUGUCGGCGAGCGGCGGACGGCUGAGUAACGCGUGGGAACGUGCCCCAAAGUGAGGAAUAACUGCCCGAAAGGGUAGCUAAUACCGCAUAUUAUCUUCGGAUCAAAGGAUUUAUCCGCUUUGGGAGCGGCUCGCGUCGGAUUAGGUAGGUGGUGAGGUAAUGGCUCACCAAGCCGACGAUCCGUAGCUGGUCUGAGAGGAUGACCAGCCAGACUGGAACUGAGACACGGUCCAGACUCCUACGGGAGGCAGCAGUGAGGAAUCUUCCACAAUGGGCGAAAGCCUGAUGGAGCAACGCCGCGUGCAGGACGAAGGCCUUCGGGUUGUAAACUGCUUUUAUAAGUGAGGAAUAUGACGGUAACUUAUGAAUAAGGAUCGGCUAACUACGUG
rnacentral:rRNA from 1 species